UGGGGAAUAUUGCACAAUGGGCGCAAGCCUGAUGCAGCCAUGCCGCGUGUGUGAAGAAGGCCUUCGGGUUAUAAAGCACUUUCAGCGGGGAGGAAGGCGUUAAGGUUAAUAACCUUGGCGAUUGACGUUACCCGCAGAAGAAGCACCGGCUAACUCCGUGCCAGCAGCCGCGGUAAUACGGAGGGUGCAAGCGUUAAUCGGAAUUACUGGGCGUAAAGCGCACGCAGGCGGUCUGUCAAGUCGGAUGUGAAAUCCCCGGGCUCAACCUGGGAACUGCAUUCGAAACUGGCAGGCUAGAGUCUUGUAGAGGGGGGUAGAAUUCCAGGUGUAGCGGUGAAAUGCGUAGAGAUCUGGAGGAAUACCGGUGGCGAAGGCGGCCCCCUGGACAAAGACUGACGCUCAGGUGCGAAAGCGUGGGGAGCAAACAGG
rnacentral:rRNA from 1 species